rnacentral:rRNA from 1 species
AUUAAUGUGAGAAUCAUUAACGCCGUAAACCCAAGGUUUCCUACGCGAUGCUCGUCAUCGUAGGGUUAGUCGGGUCCUAAGCCGAGUCCGAAAGGGGUAGGCGAUGGCAAAUUGGUUAAUAUUCCAAUACCAACAUUAGUGUGCGAUGGAAGGACGCUUAGGGCUAAGGGGGCUAGCGGAUGGAAGUGCUAGUCUAAGGUCGUAGGAGGUUAUACAGGCAAAUCCGUAUAACAAUACUCCGAGAACUGAAAGGCUUUUUGAAGUCUUCGGAUGGAUAGAAGAACCCCUGAUGCCGUCGAGCCAAGAAAAGUUUCUAAGUUUAGCUAAUGUUGCCCGUACCGUAAACCGACACAGGUGGGUGGGAUGAGUAUUCUAAGGCGCGUGGAAGAACUCUCUUUAAGGAACUCUGCAAAAUAGCACCGUAUCUUCGGUAUAAGGUGUGGUUCGCUUCGUACUAGGAUUUACUCCGAAAGCGAAGAAACUUACAACAAAGAGUCCCUCCCGACUGUUUACCAAAAACACAGCACUCUGCUAACUCGUAAGAGGAUGUAUAGGGUGUGACGCCUGCCCGGUGCUCGAAGGUUAAUUGAUGGGGUUAGCAUUAGCGAAGCUCUUGAUCGAAGCCCGAGUAAACGGCGGCCGUAACUAUAACGGUCCUAAGGUAGCGAAAUUCCUUGUCGGUUAAAUACCGACCUGCAUGAAUGGCGUAACGAGAUGGGAGCUGUCUCAAAGAGGGAUCCAGUGAAAUUGUAGUGGAGGUGAAAAUUCCUCCUACCCGCGGCAAGACGGAAAGACCCCGUGGACCUUUACUACAGCUUGACACUGCUACUUGGAUAAGAAUGUGCAGGAUAGGUGGGAGGCUUUGAGUAUAUGACGCCAGUUGUAUAUGAGCCAUUGUUGAGAUACCACUCUUUCUUAUUUGGGUAGCUAACCAGCUUGAGUUAUCCUCAAGUGGGACAAUGUCUGGUGGGUAGUUUGACUGGGGCGGUCGCCUCCCAAAUAAUAACGGAGGCUUACAAAGGUUGGCUCAGAACGGUUGGAAAUCGUUCGUAGAGUAUAAAGGUAUAAGCCAGCUUAACUGCAAGACAUACAAGUCAAGCAGAGACGAAAGUCGGUCUUAGUGAUCCGGUGGUUCUGUGUGGAAGGGCCAUCGCUCAAAGGAUAAAAGGUACCCCGGGGAUAACAGGCUGAUCUCCCCCAAGAGCUCACAUCGACGGGGAGGUUUGGCACCUCGAUGUCGGCUCAUCGCAUCCUGGGGCCGGAGCAGGUCCCAAGGGUAUGGCUGUUCGCCAUUUAAAGCGGUACGCGAGCUGGGUUCAGAACGUCGUGAGACAGUUCGGUCCCUAUCUGCCGUGGGCGUAAGAAGAUUGAAGAGAUUUGACCCUAGUACGAGAGGACCGGGUUGAACAAACCACUGGUGUAGCUGUUGUUCUGCCAAGAGCAUCGCAGCGUAGCUAAGUUUGGAAAGGAUAAACGCUGAAAGCAUCUAAGCGUGAAGCCAACUCUAAGAUGAAUCUUCUCUAAGCUCUCUAGAAGACUACUAGUUUGAUAGGCUGGGUGUGUAAUGGAUGAAAGUCCUUUAGCUGACCAGUACUAAUAGAGCGUUUGGCUUAUCUUUAAUAAAGCAU